rnacentral:rRNA from 1 species
UGGGGAAUAUUGCGCAAUGGGGGCAACCCUGACGCAGCAAUGCCGCGUGCGGGAUGACGGCCUUCGGGUUGUGAAACCGCUUUACCAUGCAGGGAAGGACAUCGACGUACCUGCACAAGAAGCCCCGGCUAACUACGUGCCAGCAGCCGCGGUAACACGUAGGGGGCGAGCGUUAUCCGGAUUCAUUGGGCGUAAAGCGCGCGCAGGCGGCCGCCUAAGCGGGACCUCUAAUCCUGGGGCUCAACCUCAGGCCGGGUCCCGAACUGGCGGCUCGGGUGCGGUAGGGGUAGGCGGAAUUCCCGGUGUAGCGGUGGAAUGCGCAGAUAUCGGGAAGAACACCGACGGCGAAGGCAGCCUACUGGGCCGCCACCGACGCUGAGGCGCGAAAGCUAGGGGAGCGAACAGGAUUAGAUACCC